rnacentral:rRNA from 1 species
AUUGAACGCUGGCGGCAGGCCUAACACAUGCAAGUCGAGCGGAUGAAGGGAGCUUGCUCCUGGAUUCAGCGGCGGACGGGUGAGUAAUGCCUAGGAAUCUGCCUGGUAGUGGGGGAUAACGUCCGGAAACGGGCGCUAAUACCGCAUACGUCCUGAGGGAGAAAGUGGGGGAUCUUCGGACCUCACGCUAUCAGAUGAGCCUAGGUCGGAUUAGCUAGUUGGUGGGGUAAAGGCCUACCAAGGCGACGAUCCGUAACUGGUCUGAGAGGAUGAUCAGUCACACUGGAACUGAGACACGGUCCAGACUCCUACGGGAGGCAGCAGUGGGGAAUAUUGGACAAUGGGCGAAAGCCUGAUCCAGCCAUGCCGCGUGUGUUAAGAAGGUCUUCGGAUUGUAAAGCACUUUAAGUUGGGGGGAAGGGCAGUAAGUUAAUACCUUGCUGUUUUGACGUUACCAACAGAAUAAGCACCGGCUAACUUCGUG